GGCUCGGCGGCGCGCCCGGCUGGCGCCGACUCCGCGGCCUCUAUGGGGAGUGGAUGCGGGAAGUGAGCGUUUGCCUCCAAACAAACAUUAUUUUGAGAAUUUUGGCUCGGGAAAUGAGACAGAAGGUGGUGUUAUCUAAUCAGGAAUGGUAUAUUCCAGCAGCCAACCAAAAGAUCACCAAAUGGCCAAAGCCAGAACAAUGGUUAGGGUGAAGUCCAGGCUGCAUAUGUGGUCUCCACGGACACUGCCCUGGGAGUUGGGAGCUUAUCACUGCCUGACGUGGAUGAGAGAUCCAGUUCCCUACUCUGCUUUUUCUGACACCACCUGGUGGGAUUUUGAACACCUCCAUGCAGCC